ensembl:lncRNA
AAUAAUCUGCCUGCAAUGCAGGAGACCCAGGUUCGGAACCCUGAGUCGGGAAGAUCCCCUGGAGAAGGGCAUGGCAACCCACUGUAAUAUUCUUGCCUGGAGAAUCCCGUGGACGGAGGAGCCUGGCGGGCUACAGUCCCUAGGAUCGCAAGAGUCGGACACAACUAAGGGACUAACCCUUAAAAAGGUUAUCAACAGCCAAAGGGAGACCGAACGAGGCCGGGUAUUCCGGUCCUGCUGUUCAUCUUGCUACCACGUGGUAGCGCUGUUGAAGACAGUCCAGUGGAAUAUAACAAGAGCGGCAGGCGAGCUGCGGAGUCCGUAGGAGCGAUUGCCCUCGUCCUCCGAGGAAGACUAGCAGUCGCCGAAAGGAAUUGCAUACUCUGGCCCCUGAAGUUUUCAAUUUAUAGUACUUGCUCUUUCAGAUGAAAUGUCCAUUUACAUUUCAAGGAACAAGCCAGCACCAUUUGCACUGUGGCUCUGGUGUCUGACUCUUCAGACCCAAACCUGUAUCCCUUCCCCUUGGCGAUGGAAAAGCUGGAGAAUUCACCUAAAGCUGGAUCAAGUAAAUGGAACAUCUAGACGUAGGGUUGGUGUCUUCACAGACCACAUUCUUACCACAUGCAGCAGGAGGCAGGCUGUUGUUUCUACAAUGACUGGACAAAAAUACUGAGUCUUGUGCCAGUUGAACGAGAACAGCUUUGCAGCUGGUUCUCAGAUGACGCCAGUGGUACAGGACUGACUGAGGAACACCCUUUGAGAACCCCUGCUCUGGGUCUUUGCCAUCUUCUGGAGAACUGAGAGCACAGUCAUUCAAAUCAUUUCCUGUGUUGGGAAGUUAAAAGAGGGACCUGGUUGAUGAAAGCUGUUAUGGUCUAGGGGUCAGAAAACUAUGGGCCAGAGACCAAAUCCGCCUACCAUGUGCUUUUGCAAAUAAAGUUGUUUUGGAACA